GGGAUAGCCCGCCGAAAGGCGGAUUAAUACCGCAUAUACCGGCAGCCUGGCAUCAGGGAACUGGGAAAGAUUUAUUGGUUGUAGAUGGGGUUGCGUAGCAUUAGCUAGAUGGCGGGGUAACGGCCCACCAUGGCGACGAUGCUUAGGGGACCUGAGAGGGUGAUCCCCCACACUGGCACUGAGAUACGGGCCAGACUCCUACGGGAGGCAGCAGUAGGGAAUAUUGGGCAAUGGGCGAGAGCCUGACCCAGCCAUGCCGCGUGCCGGAUGAAGGCCUUCUGGGUUGUAAACGGCUUUUCUCAGGGAAGAAAAAGACCUUGCGAGGUACACUGACGGUACCUGAGGAAUAAGCACCGGCUAACUCCGUGCCAGCAGCCGCGGUAAUACGGAGGGUGCAAGCGUUGUCCGGAUUUAUUGGGUUUAAAGGGUGCGUAGGUGGCUUGUUAAGUCCGGGGUGAAAGCCCACAGCUCAACUGUGGAACUGCCCUGGAUACUGGCGAGCUUGAGUCCAGACGAGGUUGGCGGAAUGGAAGCUGUAGCGGUGAAAUGCAUAGAUAGCUUCCAGAACCCCGAUUGCGUAGGCAGCUGACUAGGCUGGUACUGACACUGAGGCACGAAAGCGUGGGGAGCGAACAGGAUUAGAUACCCUGGUAGUCCACGCCGUAAACGAUGGAUACUCGCUGGUAGCGAUACACUGUUAC
rnacentral:rRNA from 1 species